rnacentral:rRNA from 1 species
CACGCCCUAAACGAUGUCAACUGGUUGUUGGGUCUUCACUGACUCAGUAACGAAGCUAACGCGUGAAGUUGACCGCCUGGGGAGUACGGCCGCAAGGUUAAAACUCAAAGGAAUUGACGGGGACCCGCACAAGCGGUGGAUGAUGUGGUUUAAUUCGAUGCAACGCGAAAAACCUUACCCACCUUUGACAUGUACGGAAUCCUGCAGAGACGCAGGAGUGCUCGAAAGAGAGCCGUAACACAGGUGC